rnacentral:rRNA from 1 species
ACACUCCUACGGGAGGCAGCAGUGGGGAAUUUUGGACAAUGGGGGCAACCCUGAUCCAGCAAUGCCGCGUGAGUGAAGAAGGCCUUCGGGUUGUAAAGCUCUUUUGUCAGGGAAGAAACGGUGGUGGCGAAUAACUACUACUAAUGACGGUACCUGAAGAAUAAGCACCGGCUAACUACGUGCCAGCAGCCGCGGUAAUACGUAGGGUGCAAGCGUUAAUCGGAAUUACUGGGCGUAAAGCGUGCGCAGGCGGUUGUGUAAGUCAGAUGUGAAAUCCCCGGGCUCAACCUGGGAAUUGCAUUUGAGACUGCACGGCUAGAGUGUGUCAGAGGGGGGUAGAAUUCCACGUGUAGCAGUGAAAUGCGUAGAUAUGUGGAGGAAUACCGAUGGCGAAGGCAGCCCCCUGGGAUAACACUGACGCUCAUGCACGAAAGCGUGGGGAGCAAACAGGAUUAGAUACCCUGGUAGUCCCA